rnacentral:rRNA from 1 species
AAAGGCGAAAGCAAAUUUCUGGGUCGUUUCUGACACUGAGGCACGAAAGCGUGGGGAGCAAAUGGGAUUAGAUACCCCGGUAGUCCACGCCCUAAACAAUGAACACUAGAUGUCGGUUUUUAUCGGUGUCGAAGCUAACGCGUUAAGUGUUCCGUCUGGGAAGUACGAUCGCAAGAUUAAAACUUAAAGGAAUUGACGGGGGCCCGCACAAGCGGUGGAGCAUGUGGUUUAAUUCGAUGAUCCGCGAAAAACCUUACCAACUCUUGACAUGUAGACUGCGUCUUCGUGAGAACGAAGACUUCAUUCAGUUGGGUCUACACAGGUGUUGCAUGGCCGUCGUCAGCUCGUGUCGUGAGAUGUUGGGUUAAGUCCCGCAACGAGCGCGACCCUUGUCGUUAUUUGCCAGCGAGUAAAGUCGGGAACUUUAACGAGACUGCCGGUGAUAAGCCGGAUGAAGGGGAGGAUGACGUCAGGUCCUCAUGGCCUUUAUGAGUUGGGCUACACAUGUGCUACAAUGGUAACAACAACGGGCUGCGACGGAGUGAUCCUAAGCCAAUCCUAAAAAGUUAUCUCAGUUCGGAUUGUUCUCUGCAACUCGAGAACAUGAAGUCGGAAUCGCUAGUAAUCGCAGAUCAGAACGCUGCGGUGAAUAAGUUUACGGGCCUUGUACACACCGCCCGUCAAGCCAUGGGAAUUGAUUUUGCCUGAAAACAAUGAGCGAACCUUCGGGGCGCAGUUGGAUAUGGUUAAAUUGGUGACUGGGGUUAAGUCGUAACAAGGUA